GGGCGAAUAGCUCAGCGGGAGAGCACCCGCGUCACAGGCGGGGGGUCACAGGUUCGAAUCCUGUUUCGCCCACCA
rnacentral:tRNA from 1 species